GGUUGUAUACAGACUUAAAUAUCGGGAAUCAAACAUUUUAUAUGAGUUUUCUUCCUUUUACUAUUGAUCUCCUAACAAACAACAUUCUAUAUUGUUCUGAUCAACUUAAAAUAGUCUUGUAGUCUGGUAUAACCAUAAGGAGUAUGGUGACAAGUUCACGUAAGGAUGGUAGUGGACAAUCUUAUUUGAUACCCAAGUUUCCA
rnacentral:lncRNA from 1 species